rnacentral:SRP_RNA from 1 species
GCCAGGUGUGGUGGUGCAUGCUUAUAGACCCAGCUACUUGGCAGGGUUGAAGUAGAAGGGUCACUUAAGCCCAGGAAUUCUGGGCUGUAGUGUGCUAUGUCUGUAGGAUAUCUGCACUAAGUUUAGCAUCAAUUGUGGUGAUCUCUUGGGAGUAGGGGACGACUAGGUUGCCUAAGCAGGGUUGAACCAGGCUAGGUUGGAAACAGGUCAAAAUUCCCAUGCUGAUUGGUAGUGGGAUUGUACCUAUGUACUCCAGCCUGGACAACAUAGCAAGACCUUGUCUCU